UACGUAGGCAGCGAGCGUUGUUCGGAGUUACUGGGCGUAAAGAGUGCGUAGGCGGUUUUCUAAGUUUGGUGUGAAAUCUCCCGGCUCAACUGGGAGGGUGCGCCGAAGACUGGAAGGCUAGAGUAUGGGAGAGGUAAGCGGAAUUCCUGAUGUAGCGGUGAAAUGCGUAGAUAUCAGGAGGAACACCUGCGGUGUAGACGGCUUACUGGACCAUCACUGACGCUGAGGCACGAAAGCGUGGGUAGCAAACAGG
rnacentral:rRNA from 1 species